GUGGUGACUGGGCUGAGUCAACCAGGUUCUCCCUCAGGAAUGUGAACUAAGACACACUGAAAGAAUGGAGCAGAUAACAGAAAUCUGAAGCUGAGGGAACGUUCUGGGGCAGAGGAGCAACCAUGAUGCCCCAUUCUCAGGGAAAAGUUAUGAGGCAGGAGGAAUUGGAAAAAAACAACAGAGACCCAGAAUAAAGCCCAGAGAGCAGAGAAUUGGGAAAAAAAAUGAGCUAGCUGGAAGAGAGAUACAGACACACCAAAGAGGAAUUUAUUUAGCUAUGUUUCACUCAGAAGAUCCUGUUGACAGCCCGGAUGCACACCGCUGGGAAGUUCUGGAGUCUCUAGCCAUAUGUCCACUUGCCUGCCAGGUGCACUGGCCAUAACCACAGCACAUUCCUGAAGGUCACUACAAGGCUGGAAAAUUGUGGGUCAGCUUCCCAGAGGCACAAUCUCCCAGACAAGCUGAGGCUUUAGGCCCGCCUGCAGUCUAUUCCUGUUCCAGGGGUCAGAAGUCCAAAAUGAGUCUUCUGGAGCUAAAAUCAAAGUGUUAGCAGGGCUGGUUUCUUCUGAGGGCUCCAUGGGGAGAAUUCAUUCCUUUGCCUCUUCUACCUUCUAGAAGCUGCCGGCAUCCCUCACCUGGUGGUCCCAUCACUCUAAUCUCUGGCUCCACCAUCGGAGAGAUUGGAUGGAAGACCAGAGGCUGGGGGAGGAAGACGGGCCUGCUACUGUUCCUGUCUGCACUGCCCCGGGAAAAGCCUACAUCCUGGCACCAGCAGGUCAGUUCUGGUGACCUCAACCUCUCCCCUUCGUCUCCCAGCUCUAGAAGUCCCAGAUGCUUCCUGCAGUGACCAUCUUUAUGUGAAUCCUGUGUUACAUCAGUGUUCCCUUUUUGCUUUUCUGUGCUUCAACAGCUAUUUCAUCAAUUC
rnacentral:lncRNA from 1 species